AGAGUUUGAUUAUGGCUCAGGACGAACGCUGGCGGCGUGCUUAACACAUGCAAGUCGAACGAAGCGCUUAAGAUGAUUUCUUCGGAAUGAAUUUUUAGUUGCUUAGUGGCGGACGGGUGAGUAACGCGUGAGCAACCUGCCCAUAAGAGGGGGAUAACAGCUGGAAACGGCUGCUAAUACCGCAUAAGACCACAUUGCCACAUGGCAAAGGGGUCAAAGAUUUAUCGCUUAUGGAUGGGCUCGCGUCUGAUUAGCUAGUUGGUAGGGUAACGGCCUACCAAGGCGACGAUCAGUAGCCGACCUGAGAGGGUGAUCGGCCACACUGGAACUGAGACACGGUCCAG
rnacentral:rRNA from 1 species